UGUUGCAUAAGCUAGAGGAGUAGAGGAGUAGAUCGACGUGAAAUACGGCCAGUGUUCUCAAAUAAAUAUCUAUUUAUCGAAGUGCGACGAUAGCGCACCGAGUGUCUUGUCCGCCAUAUUGGAAGAGAAAUGUGGUUCUAGACAACACAAAGAACAAGAAAGCAAAAUUAGUGUGUUGAUUUUGUAGAGUAGACAAUAAAAACACAAAUCCUUUCUCGUUUUGGUUGAGCGCUUGUAUGGGUUUUAGAUAGCGAAAUAUCCAAUAAAAUGUCGAACCAAGCAAAUUUAUCGUGAAGGCUCUAAUUCCAUCUAUGUAAUAAAACAGAAAAUCGCAGAGUACUACCAUCGAGGUCGAAUUCGGACCACAUGUUGACUUUGCGAAGUAAACAACCUGAAAAAAAAAGCCUCCUCGCAGUUGCCGUUCCAUCCGCUAUACAAAAUACUAACCAAAAAAUAGAUAAUGUUCAAAGUUACUCCAUGUAGUUACCUUUUUACUGGUAACUUAUAUAAAUCCCAUGUCAUGACAAAUCUUUGCACGAUUCCAACUUCUCCCCAGUAUACUUUAUCCGAUCGUCUCGGAAUGUAGUAGUGCGUAUAGGUUGUUCAAAUCGCUUAACUAAUAAACAAUGUCAACACGUUUGCUCGUUGCCCUACAUAAUUCUGCGAUAAACAGAAUCGAGUCGAAUGGACAAAACGCUCUCUAAUCCGCCAUCUUUAAAUCUGGUGGGAAUAUGGUUGAGAGCGAGGGAGACUGGGCCUCAAUGUUUUGAUCGAUGACGUCAGGCUAUUGUAUUCACGUUCCUCCUGAACUGGCUGAAGACCGCACUGUGUAUGCACUCUUUUUAUUAACUAGAAGUUUCUAAUAUAAAGUGAAUGCUCGGAGGACAGGACGAACGAUGUCUCAGUACAGGGUUCACGAAAAAGACCACUGAUCGAUAUGGAAUCAAAAUACAAAUCAGCCGACGGGGAAAGCUGUGAUGUGGACACGAAAAAUUACAUCCACUAUAUGAAACUCGCGCAUGCGCUAAAAACCCUGUUGAUGUAUAUGAAAUCAAAAUACAAAUCAGCCGACUGGGAAACCUGUGGUGUGGACACGAAAAAAUUGCAUCCACUAUAUGAAACUCACGCAUGCGCUAAAAAGACCACUGAUCGAUAUGAAUUCAAAAUACAAAUCAGCCGACUGGGGAACCUGUGGUGUAGACAUGAAAAAUCGCAUCCACAAUAUGAAACUCGCGCAUGCGCUAAAAAGACCGCUGAUCUGCGUGAAAUAAAAAUACAAAUCAGCCGACUGGGAAGCCUGUGGUGUGGAUACGAAAAAUCAGCUUUUCGCAUAUGCGAUACCAAGAUUAGACUAGGUCGCUGCGCUCUCUCCGAGCAACUAGACCCUGCGCGCAGGGUUUACUGGGAUACCUGGAGGGGGAAAUGUUGGGGUUCCUGUGUUGUGACGUGUACAGUGUUUGACGUAUAAAAGAUACUGCAAAACUGGCGGCCAUUUUGAAAAAGUUUGUCUCUGUCAUCAGUGAUGGUGUACUUGUGCCGAGAAUUAAACAAAGGUAAAUGGACUCGAAUGUCUUAUGAUAUAAUUCAAGUAUUUAGAAUAACCAAGGGAAUAUACAAAACAACAGUGGCUGAGUCUAAAUCUCCUAUCGGAUAAACUACAUAAGAAUUCAGGGACUCAUGCCAGCUACAGUAGAACCCCGCUAACUCGAACUCUGAAGGGAAGCAAAAAUCAGUUCGAGUAAGCGGGGAAUUCGAGUUAGCAGAGUAGAAAUGACUCGAAAUUAGGUCCAAUUAGGUCCUUGUUUUAUAAUUGCUUCUGAUUUGUUAACUUCUAAACAUGGCCUGGUUGAUGUAGUUGCACAGUGAUUCUAUUUUACAGACUAUUAGUAACAUGUUAACUGUGAAAUAAGUUGCAAAUGGCAAAAGUUACAAAUGCAACUGAUACCGCUGCAAUUUCCAGCCCUGCAAUGCAACCAUAUUUAAUCCAUGCCUGCAAGUUUAGCUAUAAUAAAUAAGAGAUCAUGUUGUGAUUACAUUGUCUAUUUCCAGAAACUAUUAAUACCCCCUCAUAGAAAUUAAUUAAGUCUUUAAUUUGCUUUGCUCUAGCUCUGUAACCUUACAGAGGAAAUCAUAGCCUAAUGCCACCAUAUUAGUAUAAGAAUCUUUUCUGGAAUCACACUUUCAUUGUUGAAUUUCAAAGUUGUUGCACAUAUUCCAACAUAUUCACAAGGAGUCCUUUAACUUUCAAAAUUUGAAUUUCUAGCAAAAUUAAAAGAGUAAUAGCAGCAGCCAAUCAUUUGUGCAAACGAAUUGUGGUACCAAAAUCUGAGAACCAGACAUCUCCUAGAAUUGGUAAUUUACACUCAUUGUAACAGUGGGCUCCUUCUAUUAUCCUAAAAA